rnacentral:lncRNA from 1 species
CUUUUUAACCUAUUGAAAAUUCAUAGAAUUAUGCAGUUAAGGAAUGUCAGGACUGGAAGGAUCUUUUUUUAGACCAUUUAUCUAAUUCCUGAUUUUUUAGGUUGAUCAUCUGGUUCCUGAUACUCAAGGUGUGUCCAUGAAUCACGGCAUCGGCAUCACCUGGGGCUUUUUAGAGACAGACUCUCAGGCCCCACACAGACCUGUGAAUCAGAACCCGCAUUUAAACAGGAUCCUCAGAUGACCUGCAUGCACAUAAAGUUGGAGAAGCCCUGCUCAAGUCAACCUCCCAUUUGACUCUUGAGAAAACCAGGAAAGUCAUAGUUGCCCAGAGCCACACAACUGUUUAUUUCACAUCUUGGGAUCACUUGGGAACUAUUAAUGCUGGGGUCCACUCCCCAGACAUUCUGCCCUAACUGGUCAGGAUUGCAGUCUGGGCAUCAGAAUUAAAAAAAAAAAAAAAAAAAAAAAAUCUCCCUAGAUGACUGGCUGAGGCUGAGAAUUGUUGAUUUGUUUAAUGAUGAAAUUCAGGUUUCUUGAUAUUCUAAUCAAGCAUUUCCUUUACCCCACCAUGGAUAUACAUUUAGGAACAACAAAAAAAGUUCCACUGAGUUCUCAUAGUAGCACAUCACUCUUCUGUUUCCUUUGUAACAUUUAUCCCUAUUAGAAAGUAUCCCACUUACUGUCUGCCUUGCUCCUCUGACAUGCAUCUAUGGUGGGCAGGCCCCUUGCUUGUCUUGUUGACUGCUGGAUCCCAGUUCCCAGAACAGUGUCUGGCAUGUGGCAGGUUCUCCUUUCAUAAUUUUAGACCAAAUGGAAGGAAUUAUAAUAAGGAGAGAAACACAGGCUGCUUUAGAGGCACUCAGAGGGCUGCCUAGCCUUGCCGCUAGAGGCUUUCUGAUGGACUAAUGCAUGGGCCAGUGCAAGACUUGGCCAAGUAGAGCCCAGGACUUCCACAGAUGAGGGAGGGUGCAAGCCCACAUCUCUCUGACUUGAAAGCUUGUGCCUUUCCAGUCUGCCCUGUUGUCCUGAGAGGCUGGUUUGCCUGGACUUCUCCACAGUGAACUGGGGAACUGGGAUGGACCACUUCAGCUCUACAGAUACUUGGGGCUGCCUCCUCCCUCUGUGGCUGAGUUACCACAGUAUUACAGACAGGCAUCUAGUGACAGCGAUGCUCAGUUUGUGGUCCUGUGCAAGACCCUCACUCACUGCUCAGCACAGGAGAUCUUCUUCAAAAGCAGCCAUUCCCUUUCCACUUUUCUUGUGCUUUGGCUAAUGUGUUGUGAGAGCCUGGAGGUUUUGAGGUUAGGAUGACUUACUAGAUUUUACUCUCAACUUAUGUGAGUUGCUUUCCUAGUUAAAUUAACUGUUAAACUUUAUUAUACCACUGCUAUAAGAAAGCAUGCUUGAUUUUGUCCACGAUAUUUUUGUUAUAGAUACUAUUUUCAUGCUUACUUUUUCCUGUUUGUUAUUUGGAACAUUUUACCACUGAUUUACUUGUCAUCAGACUUUGAAUUUGGGUAUGAAGAUCCUUUUUUUAUGAAGCUGUUCAUUAGCGUGUCUCACUGAGCAUAAAUUUUGACUGGGACCAUGGUUAAGAUAUCUUGAAAAAUGCUUCAUCUUUUGCUGUCUGCUUUUGGUAAUAGGAUAUCAGAAAAUAUCUUCUUGAAUAUAAGAUUUUUUUUAAACACCAUAAAACUUUUGUUUUUGGUACUGGGGAUCGAACCCAGGGGCACUUAGCAACUGAGCUAUAUCUCUAGCCCUUUUUAAUUUUUAUUUUGAGACAGGAUCUUGCUAAGUUGCUGAGGCUGGUCUCAAACUUGCAACCCUCCUGCCUCAUCCUCUGGAGUGAGUCACUGGGAUUACAGGGAUUACACACACUUGGCCUAGCACCAUAAACUAAAAGUUUCAGUUUAGAAUCUGUAUGAGUAUGAGAAUGUUGCCUUUGUGUUGCAGUGGGCUGUUGGAGACUGUAGAUGUCGGAGGAAGGCAAGUUCUGCUGAUGUCACAUCAGCCUCUUUGCAUGCUAUCAUCCCAUUCUCUGAGGGUAGUCCAUAGUUCAGAGGGAGGAUCCUUGGAUCCAGAUGCUUUCCCAGGUAUCAUGGGCUGAACUCAGGGGUGCUUUACCACCGAACUACAUCCCCAGCCCUUUUAAAAAAUAUUUUAUUUAGGGAUGGGGUCUCACUGAGUUGCUUAGGGCCUUGAUAAGUUGCUGAGGCUGGCUUUGAACUCCCGAUCCUCCUGCCUCUGUCUCCCAAACCACUAGGAUUACAAGCGUGCACAGUGUGCUCAGCCCCAGGUUGUUAAUUCACAUAUUACUAUAGGUAGCCACUGCUGAUGAACUCAAAGAGAGACAGUUAAAAGCCUAAGAACAAGAAUUUUUCCAGAAACAGAAAAGAAUUAAGGAGUUGAUGGUUAUCCUGGUAGCUUGAAGGCAUUUUAUGGAGAAGGAUUUAUUAUAUGGACCCUGAAAAUAAUUUGACUUCUGAAGCACUUGACUAUGGAUGCAAGGGAGAG